rnacentral:rRNA from 1 species
UACGGAGGGACUAGCGUUGUUCGGAAUUAUUGGGCGUAAAGAGCUCGUAGGCGGUUUGUCGCGUCUGCUGUGAAAACCCGAGGCUCAACCUCGGGCCUGCAGUGGGUACGGGCAGACUAGAGUGCGGUAGGGGAGAUUGGAAUUCCUGGUGUAGCGGUGAAAUGCGCAGAUAGUCAGGAAGAACACCCGUGGCGAAAGCGGCUCUCUGGAACGGUACUGACGCUGAGACGCGAAAGCGUGGGGAGCGAACAGG